AUGGCGGCAAAGAAACAUCUCUUUCGCUUUGGGUCUUUCGCGAUAAAGGAUGAGUCGGAGAUUCGUUUUUGGGAAGACAUCUGGCUAGGCAAUGUCAGUCUCCGAGAACAAUAUUCAGGCUUAUACAACAUUGUUCGCGAUAACAAUAAUACUAUUGCGCAAGUGCUCAGUUCAUUCCCGCCGAAUAUUUCGUUCAGGCGGGAUUUGAUUGACCCCCGACUUGUGUCAUGGCAUAAUCUUUUAUCUCGACUGGAUUCGAUUAACCUGACACAAGGCCGGGAUGUGUUUCGCUGGAACCUUACUACAUCAGGGUCUUUCACUGUAGACUCUAUGUAUCAUGCGCUCACACAUUCUGAGAUACCAGUGAGUAAUAACUAG
rnacentral:rRNA from 1 species